GGCACCACUCCAGUGGCCUAGUGGUUAGAGUGUCUGCCUUGGAUGUGGAAGGUCAUGGGAUUGAUCCCCAGCUAAGUCA